AGUYCCCCCCCCCCCUSGCCCCCCUCGGUGCRUAUCCCUGCGGUUCGWUCUCUUYUACUGUGAGCAAAAUAGAGUKYUCAACRCAGGCAAYYGACCCUUGAAUACUUCAGCAUGGGAUAAUGGAACAGGACUUGGGUCCUGUUUUCUUUGGUUUCCKGGAUCKCAGUAAUGAUUAAUAGGGAYAGUUGGGGGCAUUAGUAUUUARUUGUCAGAGGUGAAAUUCUUGGAUUUAUGAAAGACUAACUUCUGCGAAAGCMUUGCCAAGGAUGUUUUCAUUAAUCAAGAACGAAAGUUAGGGGAUCGAAGACGAUCAGAUACCGUCGUAGUCUUAACCAUAAACGAUGCCGACCAGCGAUUGGGAGACGUUACAUGGAUGACUCCCCCAGCAGCCUKMGAGAAAUCACAAGUCUUGGGUCCGGGGGGAGUAUGGUCGCAAGGCUGAAACUAAAGAAUGACGACAGUACAMAMAGGAA
rnacentral:rRNA from 1 species